CAGAGGUCCCGAGCGUUGUUCGGAUUCACUGGGCGUAAAGGGUGCGUAGGUGGUUCUGCAAGUCUGAUGUGAAAUCUCCGGGCUUAACCCGGAAAUGGCAUUGGAAACUGCAGGGCUGGAGUGUUGGAGGGGGGACUGGAAUUCUCGGUGUAGCAGUGAAAUGCGUAGAUAUCGAGAGGAACACCAGUGGCGAAGGCGAGUCCCUGGACAACUACUGACACUGAGGCACGAAAGCUAGGGGAGCAAACAGGAUUAGAUACCCUGGUAGUCCUAGCCGUAAACGGUGCUUGCUUGCUGUAAAAGGAAUCGACCCCUUUUGUGGCGAAGCCAACGCGAUAAGCAAGCCGCCUGGGAAGUACGGUCGCAAGAUUA
rnacentral:rRNA from 1 species